AGCGAACGCUGGCGGCAGGCCUAACACAUGCAAGUCGAACGGAUCCUUCGGGAUUAGUGGCGGACGGGUGAGUAACACGUGGGAACGUGCCCUUUGGUUCGGAACAACUCAGGGAAACUUGAGCUAAUACCGGAUGUGCCCUUCGGGGGAAAGAUUUAUCGCCAUUGGAGCGGCCCGCGUCUGAUUAGCUAGUUGGUGGGGUAACGGCCCACCAAGGCGACGAUCAGUAGCUGGUCUGAGAGGAUGAUCAGCCACAUUGGGACUGAGACACGGCGCAAACUCCUACGGGAGGCAGCAGUGGGGAAUCUUGCGCAAUGGGCGAAAGCCUGACGCAGCCAUGCCGCGUGAAUGAUGAAGGUCUUAGGAUUGUAAAAUUCUUUCACCGGGGACGAUAAUGACGGUACCCGGAGAAGAAGCCCCGGCUAACUUCGUGCCAGCAGCCGCGGUAAUAC
rnacentral:rRNA from 1 species